GGGAGAAAAUCACCUUCGGCAUGUACACCAUCACCUUGGGCAUGCUUGUGGCGCUGCUGCUCGGCCUCAACAUGUCCUGGAGUGCCAUUAGCACCGCCCUCACGCUCAUCUUCCUCGACUUCAAGGACGCUCGCCCCUGCCUCGAGAAGCUGUGGGUUAAUGUUGGUGGUUUUGUUCUACUUGGAUGCAUUGGUACCCAUCAUCGAGCGAACGGAUGCAACAGCAGCAAGAAGCUCAUGGCUGUGUGCAUCUAAAGCACACCAUGGACACCAUCCACUUCCUCAUCAAUGCUAACUCAAUCCAGAUCAUCGUCGACACUAUCAUCCACAGGAUGACAGAGGAAGCCAUGUUGCUGUUUUGUUUGGUCUCAGCCCUGACUAUCGCCGUCGAGCGAGUCCGGCGUGUUGUUCAUCUGACUAUGGUUCCAGCCCUGACUACCGAAGUUUUU